GUCUACACAAAACAUUGCAGUUAUUUCUGCAUAUAAAAGGAAUGAGUACACCAAAUAAUUCAUUCGAUAGUACAGUGUCAAUAUUACUGUAAGUUUCUGAAAGCCUCCUCCAACAACCAUGAAAUACUGUAUUGUAUUCUUCGCCCUGAUUGUCGCUGCUUUCGCGGAUGUAUCACACUUGGAAACGACCACUACUGAACAACCAGCCCAAGAACACCAGGACCAAUCCGAUUUGUCGACAGCAGGUUCAAGCUUCAGUGCGCCUUUGAAUCGAGAAUAUUUACCUCCUGGGGCUCAAUCUUCAGAUCCUCUGCCAGCACACACAUUCGGCGCUGAUGGAUAUAGAUAUAAACAACCCAUAAAUAGAUUCUUUUAUUAGUUGAAUUGGACGAAUGUAGCUUUUAAUAAAUUCAGUGAUUCAGCAACAAA